GGCUUGAUGAUAAUAAUUUUAAGUCGAUCUGCCCAAUGAUUAAUAUUAAAUGGCUGCAGUAUAAUUAACUGUACAAAGGUAGCAUAAUCGAUUGUUUUUUAAUUGGAAUCUGGAAUGAAAGAAUUAAUGAGAUAUAUACUGUCUCAUAUAUAUUUAAUGAAUUUAAAUUUUUAGUAAAAAUGCUUAAAUAAAUUUAUGGGACGAUAAGACCCUAUAGAAUUUUAUAUUAAUAUAUAGAUAAAUAAUUUUUAUAUAUUAAUAUUUAGUUGGGAGGAUUGGUAAAUUUAUUAAACUUUAUUUUAAAAUUUUAACUUUAAUUUGAGAAUAAAUAAUGAUCUUGUAUUAUAAAUUAUAAGAUUAAAUUACCUUAGGGAUAACAGCGUAAUAUCUUUUGAAAGAUCUUAUUGAUAGAGAUGAUUGCGACCUCGAUGUUGAAUUAAGAUAAAUUUUAAAUGAAGAAAUUUAAUAAUUAAGUCUGUUCGACUUUUAAAAUCUC
rnacentral:rRNA from 1 species